CGUAGGUGGUUUGUCGCGUCGUCUGUGAAAUUCCGGGGCUUAACUCCGGGCGUGCAGGCGAUACGGGCAUAACUUGAGUGCUGUAGGGGAGACUGGAAUUCCUGGUGUAGCGGUGAAAUGCGCAGAUAUCAGGAGGAACACCGAUGGCGAAGGCAGGUCUCUGGGCAGUUACUGACGCUGAGGAGCGAAAGCAUGGGUAGCGAACAGGAUUAGAUACCCUGGUAGUCCAUGCCGUAAACGGUGGGCGCUAGGUGUAGGGGGCUUCCACGUCUUCUGUGCCGUAGCUAACGCAUUAAGCGCCCCGCCUGGGGAGUACGGCCGCAAGGCUAAAACUCAAAGGAAUUGACGGGGGCCCGCACAAGCGGCGGAGCAUGUGGAUUAAUUCGAUGCAACGCGAAGAACCUUACCUGGGCUUGACAUACACCAGAUCGCUGCAGAGAUGUAGUUUCCCUUGUGGUUGGUGUACAGGUGGUGCAUGGUUGUCGUCAGCUCGUGUCGUGAGAUGUUGGGUUAAGUCCCGCAACGAGCGCAACCCUUGUCUUAUGUUGCCAGCAUUUGGUUGGGGACUCAUGAGAGACUGCCGGGGUUAACUCGGAGGAAGGUGGGGAUGACGUCAAAUCAUCAUGCCCCUUAUGUCCAGGGCUUCACACAUGCUACAAUGGUCGGUACAACGCGCAGCGACACUGUGAGGUGGAGCGAAUCGCUGAAAGCCGGUCUUAGUUCGGAUUGGGGUCUGCAACUCGACCCCAUGAAGUCGGAGUCGCUAGUAAUCGUAGAUCAGC
rnacentral:rRNA from 1 species